rnacentral:rRNA from 1 species
UACGGAGGAUGCGAGCGUUAUCCGGAUUUAUUGGGUUUAAAGGGUGCGCAGGCGGCGCGUCAAGUCAGCGGUCAAAAUGCGGCGCUCAACGCCGUACCGCCGUUGAAACUGGCGUGCUCGAGUUUGUGCGAGGAUGGCGGAAUGCGCGGUGUAGCGGUGAAAUGCAUAGAUAUCGCGCAGAACCCCGAUUGCGAAGGCAGCUGUCCAGCACACUACUGACGCUCAUGCACGAAAGCGUGGGUAUCGAACA